rnacentral:rRNA from 1 species
CUGGGCGUAAAGCGCGCGUAGGUGGUUUGUUAAGUCGGAUGUGAAAUCCCCGGGCUCAACCUGGGAACUGCAUCCGAAACUGGCAAGCUAGAGUAUGGUAGAGGGUAGUGGAAUUUCCUGUGUAGCGGUGAAAUGCGUAGAUAUAGGAAGGAACACCAGUGGCGAAGGCGACUACCUGGACUGAUACUGACACUGAGGUGCGAAAGCGUGGGGAGCAAACAGGAUUAGAUACCC